rnacentral:rRNA from 1 species
UACGUAGGGUGCGAGCGUUAAUUGGAAUUACUGGGCGUAAAGGGCGCGUAGGCGGGAUGGCAAGUCGGUCGUGAAAUCCCUCGGCUCAACCGAGGAACGUCGAUCGAUACUGCUGUUCUUGAGGAUUGCAGAGGAGACUGGAAUUCCCGGUGUAGCGGUGAAAUGUGUAGAGAUCGGGAGGAACACCGGUGGCGAAGGCGGGUCUCUGGGCCGUAACUGACGCUGAGGAGCGAAAGCGUGGGGAGCGAACAGG